rnacentral:rRNA from 1 species
CACGUAGGGGACGAGCGUUGUCCGGAUUCAUUGGGCGUAAAGCGCGCGUAGGCGGCUCGGAAAGUCGGUCGUGAAAUGCCGGGGCUCAACCCCGGGACUGCGUCCGAUACUCCCGAGCUGGAGGCAGGUAGGGGAGAUCGGAAUUCCUGGUGUAGCGGUGAAAUGCGCAGAUAUCAGGAGGAACACCGGUGGCGAAGGCGGGUCUCUGGGCAGUAACUGACGCUGAGGAACGAAAGCGUGGGUAGCAAACAGG